rnacentral:lncRNA from 1 species
UACUUCAUCAUCUUCCUUGGCUUUUCUCUUCGUUCCAUUGAAUUUACAGGUGCGUUUAAUCUCUUUUGAUAUGGUUAAACUUGCUUUUAAUCCGAUUAAAGUAAUCUUUGAUGUAUUAUCUUUUAUUUGAACCGAUUAAAAUGUGUUUUCGUUGUGUUUUGGUGUGGUUUUUUCUUGUGUCUUUGCGUAGUGUAGUGCACCUUCUCCCUUUGAUAGUUUCCUCCUA